UACGUAGGCAGCGAGCGUUGUUCGGAUUUACUGGGCGUAAAGCGUGCGUAGGCGGUGCCAUAAGUCUGUUGUGAAAUCUCCCGGCUUAACUGGGAGGGUGCGGUGGAAACUGUGGUGCUGGAGUGUGGGAGAGGUAGGCGGAAUUCCUGGUGUAGCGGUGAAAUGCGAAGAUAUCAGGAGGAACACCUGUGGUGUAGACGGCUUACUGGACCAUGACUGACGCUGGGGCACGAAAGCGUGGGGAGCAAACAGG
rnacentral:rRNA from 1 species